AUGACUCCACAGUCCCAGAUGAUCCCACAGUCCCACAUGUGUGACUCCACAGUCCCACAUGACUCCACAGUCCCACAUGACUCCCUGGUCCCACAUGACUCCACUGUCCCACAUGACUCCACAGUCCCACAUGACUCCACUGUUCCACAUGACUCCACAGUCCCACAUGACUCCACUGUUCCACAUGACUCCACUGUUCCACAUGACUCCACAGUCCUACAUGGCUCCACUGUUCCACAUGACUCCACUGUUCCACAUGACCUGGCCCCUCGCACCUCCCUGAACUUCUUGCUGUCAUGACUGGUCUCUAAAAGGGCUGAACCUGUUCCCUUGCAGGGCUGAACCUAUUCCCAUUCAGGACUCAAUCUAUCCCCAUUCAGGGGUCAACCUAUUCCCAUUCAGGGCUCGAUCUGCUCAUAUUUAGGGCUGAACCUAUUCCCAUUCAGGGCUGAACCUAUUCCCAUUCAAGGCUCAACCUGUUCCCAUUCAGGGCUGAGCUUGUUCCUAUUCAGGGCUGAACCUAUUCUCAUUCAGAGCUCGACCUAUUCUCAUUCAGGACUGAACCUGUUCCCAUUCACGACCGAACCUAUUCCCAUUCAAGGCUCAACCUAUUCUCAUUCAGGGCUCAACCUAUUCCCAUUCAGGACUGAACCUAUUCCCAUUCAGGGCUCAACCUAUUCCCAUUCAGGACUGAACCUAUUCCCAUUCAGGGCUCAACCUAUUCCCAUUCAGGACUGAACCUAUUCUCAUUGAAGACUGAACCUAUUCUCAUUCAGGACUGAACCUAUUCCCAUUCAGGGCUGAACCUUUUCUCAUUCAGGGCUCAAAAACCUGCUGCUGUUCUCUCUGCACACAGUCACUCAAGGUCUCCACAUUUCUCCUGCUUCUCUUCAUGAGGUCUCUGCUAAAAUGUGAUCUUCUCAGAACAGCUUUCCCUAAACUCUCUAUUCAGUGCCCUACUGUAUUGUUGGCACUGGAAAUAAAUUAGUGGGAAAAUUCAGUCUAGAAACCCUGUACUUAGGGCUCUUUCUCUCUCAUGGGAGUCACUGCCCUGCAGCCUCCUCCCAUUCAUUUAUUUACCCAUUUGUUCUGAUUUGUC
rnacentral:lncRNA from 1 species